rnacentral:lncRNA from 1 species
GAAAACGGAGGUGACGCGGCUCCAGGCUCGGACGAGGCGACGGGUGAAGAGGGGGCGUGAGUUCUGAGGAUGACUUGGGUUAGAUCUCUUGCGAGAGAUUUGUUUUUAUGUUUUUAUGUUUCGGCCUUAAACGGCCUUAUUUCGUGUUUCGGGACUAGCCGCGUGUGGCUUUGAAUCCCUGCCGCUCUGCGGCUUUUUGUGAUGAGAUAAUCAAAUGGUACUUUUUUAUGAGUUAGUGUACAGUGGGAAGGAAGGUGAUGAGUUGUCGUCUCAU